AUGGCGCCGCUGCGCCAUGGCCUGGUGGAAACGGCGCCGCCACGCGACCACGGGAAGAAGCGCCGGGGCCGGGUGAAGGAGGCCGCACUGGCGGAGGCGGACGCCCUGAUCUCCCUGCCCCCGGACGCCGUCGACAGCAUCCUCGUCCGUCUCGACAUCCGCGACGCCGUCCGCACGUCGGUGCUCUCCCGCACCUGGCGACACCGAUGGGAGGCCCUCCCAUCCCUCGACCUCCAUUUCCCCUGCCUCGGAGGCGAUGAGGGCGCGCCGGCGGGGCUGGGGGCCCUCGACGGCAUCCUCCUCCGCUGCCCCGCCCGCGUCCGGCUCUUCCACGCGGAGCUCGACGGGCCCUACGCAGGCCGCGUCCACGACUGGCUCUUCGUCCUCGCCCGCAGGGGUGUCGAGAUCCUGGACCUCAGCUUCAACGACACGUUCCCCACCCUCCCCUCCUCCGUCUUCUCCUGCAGCUGGCUCACCUCCCUCAGUCUCUUCGGCUGCGCCAUUCCGCUCCUACCCGCGGGCUUCGUGGCCUUCCCGGAGCUUAGGAAAUUAACUCUCGCAAACGUCCACUUACAGGACUAUGGGGAGUACCUUGAGGAGAUCAUUAGGACAUCCCCGUUGCUCGACUAUCUGGUACUUACAGAUGUUUUCAUCGGUGGCGAGUACAUCAGAGAAUGGGUGAUUCGGGCGCCCAAUCUCAGGCACUUGACGAUUUGUUCAGAGAACUAUUAUGGCUGGAUCCUCAAGGACUUGACAUGCCUGAAUUCCGCAGUCAUCGAUUGGUGGGACAAUGUUGUUCACCACGAUUUUGCCAAGUUUCUUCACGGGCUUGUUCAAGUUAGGAAGCUUUUGGUCGUCUCAUUCAACGCACCGAGUGCUAUGAUACCGAAGAUAAUUCUGUGCACCUUUCACAACUUGAAGAGCUUGAAGUUGCGUAUGCACUUUUGUGAGCAACCCCCUAUUAUGUUAGCGUUUUGCUUACUAAAGAGUGCCCCAAAUCUUGAAAAGCUUAAAAUAGAGAUCUAUGAUAAGGAGGAGCAGAAAUUUGAGGCAAAUGGAGAGUUUCAAAAUGCAUUAUGGACUGAUGGCAUGUGUGCCAACCUUCAGGUUGUGCAGAUGACCGGCAUUAAUUGGCGUCGAAAUGAAAUGUGCUAUAGAGCUCAUUCUCUCUAAAGCAAGGCUUCUUCGUGCAUUGUUUAUUAG
rnacentral:rRNA from 1 species